rnacentral:rRNA from 1 species
AUUGAACGCUAGCGGGAUGCCUUACACAUGCAAGUCGAACGGAAUGGCGAACGGAUGAGUAAUGUAUCGGAACGUGCCCAGUAGCGGGGGGUAACUACGCGAAAGCAUAAGUAAUACCACAUCCCAUUGGCGCGGCCGAUAUCGGAUUCGCUAGUUGGUGGGGUAACGGCUCACCAAGGCGCCGAUCAGUAGCUGGCUUGAGAGGACGCCCAGCCACACUGGGACUGAGACACGGCCCAGAUUCCUACGGUAGGCAGCAGUGGGGAAUUUUGGACAAUGGGGGAAACCCUGAUCCAGCCAUCCAGCGUGUUCGAGGAAGGCCUUCGGGUUGUAAAGUACUUUUGGCAGGAAAGCGGUACCUGCAGAAUAAGCACCGGCUAACUACGUGCCAGCCGCCGCGGUAAUUC